rnacentral:rRNA from 1 species
UACGGGGGGAGCAAGCGUUGUUCGGAUUUACUGGGCGUAAAGGGCGCGUAGGCGGCCAGCACAAGUCAGUUGUGAAGUCUCCGGGCUUAACUCGGAAAGGUCAACUGAUACUGUGCGGCUAGAGUGCAGAAGGGGCAACUGGAAUUCUCGGUGUAGCGGUGAAAUGCGUAGAUAUCGAGAGGAACACCUGCGGCGAAGGCGGGUUGCUGGGCUGACACUGACGCUGAUGCGCGAAAGCCAGGGGAGCGAACGGG